rnacentral:rRNA from 1 species
UUGGUUAAGUUAGAAAGGGCGCACGGUGGAUGCCUUGGCACUAGGAGCCGAAGAAGGACGGGACUAACACCGAUAUGCUUUGGGGAGCUGUACGUAAGCGUUGAUCCAGAGAUUUCCGAAUGGGGGAACCCACUAUCUUUAGUCGGAUAGUAUCCUUACGUGAAUACAUAGCGUGAGGAAGGCAGACCCAGGGAACUGAAACAUCUAAGUACCUGGAGGAAGAGAAAGAAAAAUCGAUUUCCUGAGUAGCGGCGAGCGAAACGGAAAGAGCCCAAACCAAGAAGCUUGCUUCUUGGGGUUGUAGGACACUCUAUACGGAGUUACAAAAGAAAGUUAUAAAUGAAGCGGUCUGGAAAGGCCCGCCAAAGACGGUAACAGCCCGGUAGUUGAAAUGGCUUUCCCUCCAGAGUGGAUCCUGAGUACGGCGGAACACGUGAAAUUCCGUCGGAAUCCGGGAGGACCAUCUCCCAAGGCUAAAUACUCCCUAGUGACCGAUAGUGAACCAGUACCGUGAGGGAAAGGUGAAAAGCACCCCGGAAGGGGAGUGAAACAGUUCCUGAAACCGUGUGCCUACAAGUAGUUAGAGCCCGUUAAUGGGUGAUAGCGUGCCUUUUGUAGAAUGAACCGGCGAGUUACGAUUUGUUGCAAGGUUAAGCGGAAAAAGCGGAGCCGUAGCGAAAGCGAGUCUGAAUAGGGCGCAUAAGUAACAGGUCGUAGACCCGAAACCAGGUGAUCUACCCAUGUCCAGGAUGAAGGUAAGGUAAUACUUACUGGAGGUCCGAACCCACGCACGUUGAAAAGUGCGGGGAUGAGGUGUGGGUAGCGGAGAAAUUCCAAUCGAACUUG